CACAGUGUAGGCACCGAAGGCCUGUGGGUGAGUCUUGGCAGCUGCUCUGCUCUCCCUCCUGGAAGCCAAAGAGUCACAGCCAAGGAGAGGAGCUGAGACAAAGACUUCAACUUUCUCAAAACGUACCAGAUGUGCUGAGAGCUUUCGGGAGGCUAAUUAAGUCUGCAGGGACCCCCUCCACGGUCCCCUCCACCACGAGGUUGCCUGUGGCUGCCUCCCAGAGGCGGCGAGCCUGAAGGUGUGGCUGGGGAGGUGGCAGUGCGGCUGCAGUCGGCCUGCGAGGCUCACGGGGCAGAGAGGACCCUGGAGGGACCGAGUGGGCACGGAGGCCCCCAGCCGUGGCCGACUGCGGCACACACCAGCGGGGCGUGCGUCCGUCUGUCCGUCCUCCUGGCCCUGCAGUCCCGUGCAAACCCUGGGAGCAGCCUCUCUCAGCCACGUCUUACAAUCGAGUCGCCCAAGGUGCGGGAACCCAGGCCCCACCCCCAAAGGUUCUAAGCUAAUUGGUCCGGGCGAAACGGUGGCCCUGGCAUGUUUUUUAAAAAGCAUCCUGGGCUUGUGAACCAGGGAAGUAAACCACUUCCUUCGGGGUUGGAAGUACCCUCCACACGGGUGCCUGACGCAGUGAGCCAAGUGAGCGCGCAGGACGCGGAGCCCAGGGAGGGGCGUGCAAGUGCAGGGUGGGCGCCUCCUCCUCCGAUGGCCCCCGGGUGCCGCCGCCCCCCACCUCGCUCUGCUCCCCCUCCGGCCCCGCGGGUUCCGUCCCUGGCCUGAUUCGAAGAUGUAACUCAGCCCCCUUGUCCCUGCCCUCUGGAGGCCCUAGGAUGCGGUGGACAAAAGUGUCAUGGGGCCAGGGGACCUGUCCUGAGAAGACACGGGCAGAAAACCGAAGAAUGAACAGACCAAAUCGUGACCUUAAGUGCUUUGCUGGUUUUUGGAACAAGAAUGACACGACACGACUACUGGCUGCGAGACACAGCUUAGUCAUUUCCACCAGCCACCACCCCCCCCCCCCCCGCCCCGAUGCCAGGCCAUAGCCGGCAACUCACUGGGGGGGACUGGAUCCAGGGCCCUGGAGAGAGGGACUCAAGUCCUACAAACCAGUGUGUGUUCCUGUUGUGUGACAGUCACCGAGACAGAGUGUGGGCGGGACUCAGGGGCCCCUCUUGGGCGCUCAUCCUUGGCCUCACCCAGAAAUCGAUCUCAGCAGCAGAGAAUCAGAAGUCGGCACCAAGGCAGGCAGAUUUUUUAGGGGCAUGUGGAACCGAUUAGUCUGCGAAUGUGAGCUCAGGGCUCCAGGGACCGGCCCAGUGCGGGUUCCACGCUAGGCCAGAUGCGUCCCUUGUAAAUAUAAGUGGCCUUUGUUCCCUCUGCCCAGCCUCCCCCACUCCUGGCCUCAGCACGGAUCCGGGUCCUCCAGAAGGCAACCCCACCUGGCCUCGCCCGUGGAAUCAGCGCCUUGAGCCCGCCACAGCUGCAACAGGGCAUCAUUGCGUGUUGUAGCCCAAAGUCCUUUGGGGGGGGCAGGGGGACAAAAGCCCUGGGCGCGGGGGCAUGGCUGGGUUUUGCGGCGCUGUGUUGGCGCUUGGCCUGGUCCUAGCAUCACCUCCUUCUGAGCCGCGACAGCAAUGGGAGCUUCAGUAGGGUCCUGAGAGGAGGCUGGGGCCUGGGCUGCUGACCAGGCGGCAACGACCCCAGCCCACCACCCAGAGCCCUGGGGGCCACCUCCCCUCCCCGUACAAACCCCCAGAUCCUGAACCCACUUCCUUCAGAAUAAGAAACUGAGGUCCUAGGGAAUCCCUGGGUGGCUCAGCGGUUUAGUGCCUGCCUUCGGCUCAGGGCACGACCCUGGAGUCCCCAGGAUCGAGUCCCACGUCGUGCUCCCUGCGUGGAGCCUGCUUCUCCCUCUGCCUGUCUCUCUCUCUCUCUCUCUCUCUCUCUCUCUCUCUCUCUCUCACUGU